rnacentral:rRNA from 1 species
AGUUUGGCGCUUAACUUCAAAAUUGCCAUUGAAACUGGGAGACUUGAUUACGGUAGAGGUAAGCGGGAAUGCGUGGUGUAGCGGUGAAACGCAUAGAUAUCACGCAGAACCCCGAUUGCGAAGGCAGCUUACUGGACCGUUAUUGACGCUGAGGCAUGAAAGCGUGGGGAUCAAACAGGAUUAGAUACCCUGGUAGUCCACGCCGUAAACUAUGAAUGCUAGCUAUUGGCGAUACACAGUCAGUGGCACAGAGAAAUCGUUAAGCAUUCCACCUGGGGAGUACGCCGGCAACGGUGAAACUCAAAGGAAUUGACGGGGGCCCGCACAAGCGGAGGAACAUGUGGUUUAAUUCGAUGAUACGCGAGGAACCUUACCCGGGUUUGAACGCAGGGGGAAUACGGUUGAAAGAUCGUCGCUAGCAAUAGCCGCCUGCGAGGUGCUGCAUGGUUGUCGUCAGCUCGUGCCGUGAGGUGUCGGCUUAAGUGCCAUAACGAGCGCAACCCUUAUUGAUAGUUACUAACAGGCAAUGCUGAGGACUCUAUCGAGACUGCCAGCGUAAGCUGUGAGGAAGGUGGGGAUGACGUCAAAUCAGCACGGCCCUUACAUCCGGGGCGACACACGUGUUACAAUGGUGGGUACAGAGGGUCGCUACCUGGUGACAGGAUGCUAAUCUCCAAAACCCAUCUCAGUUCGGAUCGAAGUCUGCAACUCGACUUCGUGAAGCUGGAUUCGCUAGUAAUCGCGCAUCAGCCAUGGCGCGGUGAAUACGUUCCCGGGCCUUGUACACACCGCCCG